rnacentral:lncRNA from 1 species
UGUUUUAUAAGCAAACCAAAGGCAUGCCCAUCGGCAGCCCUAUGGCUGGGCUUCUUGCUGAAAUUGUACUUAGAAAAGUAGAGAAACCAUCAUCCAUGCACUCCAGCCAAGGUUAAAGUUAUAUAUCAGAUAUGUGGAUAACAUCCUGGACGUUUGGAAAGAUGAGCAGGACAUAGUUGAAUUUAUGAAUGCCUUGACCCUUCUGUCUUACGGCUUAAGAUUAAAAAUGGACCAAAAGAGCAAUCAUGAAGUACACUAUCUUGACAUUUGCAUAAAAUCGGAAGAAGGAAGAGUGGUAACCAUGGUAUAUAGAAACCGUUUUACAUUCCUGUUAUCAUACCGAGAUGGUCUGAUGACCCUACAUCCUUUAAGAAGGCCGCAUUCCUAUCGUCUUUUAAGAGGGCAGAACUAUAUUCAACCAAUAUCCUUGACCUAGAUCGAGAGAUCGGCUAUAUCUGU